UACGGAGGGUGCAAGCGUUGUCCGGAUUUAUUGGGUUUAAAGGGUGCGUAGGUGGGCAGGUAAGUCAGUGGUGAAAUCUCCGGGCUUAACUCGGAAACUGCCGUUGAUACUAUCUGUCUUGAAUAUCGUGGAGGUUAGCGGAAUAUGUCAUGUAGCGGUGAAAUGCUUAGAUAUGACAUAGAACACCCAUUGCGAAGGCAGCUAACUACACGAUCAUUGACACUGAGGCACGAAAGCGUGGGGAGCAAACAGG
rnacentral:rRNA from 1 species